GCAGACACAUUCCAGCCAAUCAGCAGCAGACCCUCCCUCCCAGACCUUCCCACCUCCUGGACAGCAUCCAUUUUACAUUCAUUGUGAAGCUGCAUUCUUAGUGAGCUGUCCAGGAGGUGGGAGGGUCUGGGAGGGAGGGUCUGCUGCUGAUUGGCUGGAAUGUGUUUG